rnacentral:lncRNA from 1 species
GCGGAUCUAAGCGAGAGAGAGGGAGAGAGUCGCGAGAUCGUUUGCGAGUGAGUCGAGGAACGCGCCCGGUGAUGUUAUCGUGGUCGCGAUUUGCGAAGGCGUGAGAUCGGAAGUAUUGCGUGGUUUUGGUGUGAGAAAGAAAUGAGAUCGGGAUGAAAGAGUGGUGUCGCGGAGGAAAUGUUCUUCCCCAGCAGAGUCGCCAAUUUUUGGUGUUAUUCCGCCUCCCCGGAUGAGUCGAGAUCUUCUUUAUUUAUAGCUGGAGGGUUCGGUAACUUGUUGACACGUUAUGGCCCAGGUGUCGAGUUCCUGAAUAAGCCAGACACGUAAUCCCGGUUUUAUCCUAUAUUCAUGGCAUAUGUGAUUGGCCGGACGCAAGCAUAAAGCGCCGCCAAUUAAGGAUCAACAAUUAGUAUAAGUGAAUUUUUUUAUUCAAUUAUAUUUUUUGACCCGACCCGGUCCAAAUCGGG